CCUGGACUGACCGGUCGGAUGAGGAGAGCGCCUCCACUCGCACAUUUCAUUUUGUACACCACCGCAUCUUUUGUGUAAUUAAAUGCUGUUAACUUUUAUAAGCUUCCCUUGACUCUUUUCAGUCUCUCCUGCCUUCGGGGUUCUAGAAUAUACUAACACUAUCCAAAAUCAAGGAGGGGAGAAUGCACCGCAAAGCCUGUAAAGAAGGAGCCUACAUACAUGUACGUGGGUGAGCUGAUGAGGCUGGUGUUUGAAGAAGUCUUUGAGGACCCAACACCCUUUGUGGAGGAGAUGAAUAAAAUCAACAUUCCAAAGGACCUGUCCACUCAAUUUGACAGGCCCUCAAAGGAGGAAGUGGUAGCCCGCCAUGUCUCACGUUUUAGUCUAGGGGCGGUCGGAAGCCCACGUACUGUCCAGCCAGAUCAGGGAACUCCUGGCGUAUCCGGCGGACCACACACGACGGGAUGACCACUCUGAUUCCUCGUCCCAAAAAGCCCCAGCACCAGCUUACGAAGCUGCGAUAGGCCAGAUGCCUAAAACGCCUAUAAGAGGAGGAAUGGAUGAUAACAUAUAUGUGCUGUCCUGUUUUUCACCCUUACACUCUGGCUGCUUGAAUAACUGAAUUUCCCCACAGGGAUUAAUAAAGGUCCAUCUUAUCUCAUACAGUGUAUAUAUACACAUGAUCAAUUUGUACAUUUAUCAAAAUAAAGUUUGAUGGAACUACUUGAUAGCCUUUCUUCCCUGAAUUAUUUGCUCCUAGAUCAUUCAUAUAUAGCAAACCAUUAUUUGAUUUUUCAUCUAAUACAGUAGUAGUUUAUUAUAGCUAAAAAUAACUUACUCUUCUUCAGUUCUACGCCUCAAAGGUCCAUAAUCAAACCGAUAAAUAUUGUGGAGGUUCUGCAGGGUGUAGGGAUUGAGGCAGUUUGGUUCUAGUCCGGGGUGGUCAACCAUGCACACAAUGGGUUCUGGGACUUGGUGCAUUCGUGUUAAAACCUAUAGGAGGAUAAGAUAUUUGUAACAUAAUACGUUUAGCAAUUAAAUCCAACUAUGGCGAGGUUUACAAAAUAAACAUUAAAUUACUAUAGAAUAAAUAAAAGGGCAUAUAGUCUAUUGACUUGACAAGUAUGUAUGGUGUAUAUAAUGUUGUGUGCUACUGUUGGUGUUUUUGUAUUUGUUGUGGUGACACCCUGUUUUGACCAUAAUUCACCUUUGGUAUAGUGUUGCCACACGGACCCUUUAGUGUGUGCUCUUAGGUUUAGCUUGUCAUUCCUAGCUUGUCAGACAGAGCAGACAUGUAUUUUACCUGAUUCUAAACACACCGCCCCCGACUCCCUUUCAUCGGCACUACACUGUCACCUUUCUAAUCUCCCUGCAACAGAGGUUUUCCACCUCGGUAGGCAUUACUGCGCAGUUUCCACAUGUGCACCUAAAUAACAACAGUUGGAAAGUUUGGUUAGUCAGCGGACACACUUGUUACUGUGAUGUAGAUAAAUGAUGAAGUUCUAACAUUACAUCUGAAAUGUAGCAGCUAUACAAAAUUAAAACGUUCCACUGUGAAA